rnacentral:rRNA from 1 species
ACGAACGCUGGCGGCGUGCUUAACCCAUGCAAGUCGAACGGAAAGGCCCUGCUUUUGUGGGGUGCUCGAGUGGCGAACGGGUGAGUAACACGUGAGUAACCUGCCCUUGACUUUGGGAUAACUUCAGGAAACUGGGGCUAAUACCGGAUAGGAGCUCCUGCUGCAUGGUGGGGGUUGGAAAGUUUCGGCGGUUGGGGAUGGACUCGCGGCUUAUCAGCUUGUUGGUGGGGUAGUGGCUUACCAAGGCUUUGACGGUUAGCCGGCCUGAGAGGGUGACCGGCCACAUUGGGACUGAGAUACGGCCCAGACUCCUACGGGAGGCAGCAGUGGGGAAUAUUGCACAAUGGGCGGAAGCCUGAUGCAGCAACGCCGCGUGCGGGAUGACGGCCUUCGGGUUGUAAACCGCUUUCGCCUGUGACGAAGCGUGAGUGACGGUAAUGGGUAAAGAAGCACCGGCUAACUACGUG